rnacentral:rRNA from 1 species
GAUGAACGCUGGCGGCGUGCCUAAUACAUGCAAGUCGAGCGAACAGACGAGGAGCUUGCUCCUCUGACGUUAGCGGCGGACGGGUGAGUAACACGUGGAUAACCUACCUAUAAGACUGGGAUAACUUCGGGAAACCGGAGCUAAUACCGGAUAAUAUAUUGAACCGCAUGGUUCAAUAGUGAAAGACGGUUUUGCUGUCACUUAUAGAUGGAUCCGCGCCGCAUUAGCUAGUUGGUAAGGUAACGGCUUACCAAGGCAACGAUGCGUAGCCGACCUGAGAGGGUGAUCGGCCACACUGGAACUGAGACACGGUCCAGACUCCUACGGGAGGCAGCAGUAGGGAAUCUUCCGCAAUGGGCGAAAGCCUGACGGAGCAACGCCGCGCGAAUGAUGAAGGUCUUCGGAUCGUAAAACUCUGUUAUUAGGGAAGAACAAAUGUGUAAGUAACUAUGCACGUCUUGACGGUACCUAAUCAGAAAGCCACGGCUAACUACGUG